UGAGGCCACAGGCUCUUUCUUCCUAUGUGUUCAUAGCAGCUAAUAUCAUCCUCCAUGCGUCUAAGGCAUUUCAAGCCAGACAUUUGGAUGAAUUACUUCCCCCUAUAGUUCCAUUGUUAACCUCUCAUCACCACAGCUUGCGGGGUUUUACUCAGUUGCUAGUCAACCAAGUGUUUUUAAAAUAUUUUUCUCAAUUGGAAUUUGGAGCCUCUGAAACUGUGCCUUUGGAGAAAAGGUGCUUUGAAGAUCUGAAAUUAUACCUGGCAAAAAACCCUGAUUGUAGUCGCUUACGAGCAUCAAUGAAAGGAUAUCUCGAUGCCUAUAAUCCCAUUAUCUCCAGUACUCCAGCUGGAAUUUUUGUCGACCGGGUUGAGGAAUUUCAGUUUGAAUGCGUUCCAACAUCCAUCGUUUAGAAAGUUGAGCACUUCCUCCAAGAG
rnacentral:misc_RNA from 1 species